rnacentral:misc_RNA from 1 species
UUUCCGUAGGUGAACCUGCGGAAGGAUCAUUAAAAAAUUGGACUCCAUUGGUGAGUUCAUUAAUAAUCCUACCCUUUGUGAAUUUGUUUGUUUGAAUAAUUUUUUUUCCAAAAAAAAUUAUUGAAUGUCUUUCCCUGUUUUGGUGGAGCUUGUAAAGUGAAACCAGGCAGGGGAAUGGCAAACAAUAAUUAUUUUUGAAAAAGACCUUUUUUAAAAUUAAACUUUUUGUAUUCAUUUGUCUAAAAUUAUUUUUAUAAUAUAAAAACAACUUUUGACAAUGGAUCUCUUGGUUCUCGCAACGAUGAAGAACGCAGCAAAAUGCGAUAAGUAGUGUGAAUUGCAGAAUACGUGAAUCAUCGAAUCUUCGAACGCAUAUUGCACUUUUUUAGUUUACUAAAAAAGUAUGUCUGUUUGAGUAUCAGUAAAAUAUUCUCAUAAAAAAUUUAUUUUUUAUGGUUAUGAGUGUUUUACAACGAUAACAAGUUGUUUCACUUUAAAUUCUUUGUUAUCAAAAAAAUCAUUAAAAGCUAAUUUUAAAGAUUUUUUAAAAUUGGAUAAAAUUUUCCCGUAAAAAGGAAUAACCUAAACAAUUUUAAAAAAUUAAAAUUGGUUUGAUUUUUCUUGAUUUAAAAAGGAAAAAAAAGUAAAAAUUAACUUGAUCUCAAAUCAGAUAAGAGUACCCGCUGAACUUAAGCAUAUCAAUAAGCGGAGGAAAAGAAACUAACUAGGAUUCCCUCAGUAACGGCGAGUAAAGCGGGAAGAGCUCAAAUUUGAAAUCUUCAAGGUUUUACCUUGACGAAUUGUAGUUUAAAGAAGUGUUUUCUGUUGGAGUUUUGGUAAAAGUUCUUUGGAAAAGGACAUCAUAGAGGGUGAGAAUCCCGUAUUUGACCAUUAUCUCCAGCUUUGUGAUACACUUUCAAAGAGUCGGAUUGUUUGGGAAUGCAGUCCAAAAUGGGUGGUAAAUUUCAUCUAAAGCUAAAUACUGGCGAGAGACCGAUAGCGAACAAGUACCGUGAGGGAAAGAUGAAAAGAACUUUGAAAAGAGAGUUAAACAGUACGUGAAAUUGUCAAAAGGGAAGCGUUUGACACCAGUGUUGUUUUCUCGAAAAUCAAUUAAAAAAGGCCGGAUUUUGUGUUGUAUUGAUUUUAUCAGCUUUCUGCACUUUUUUCUUGUCUUUUUUAAUGCACUUUUCGUUUAACAAGUCAACAUCAAUUUCUUUUGUUGUAAAAGGGUCAUUGGAAGGUGGCUUUCUUUUCGGAGAAAGUGUUUAUAGCCUUUGGCCUCCGCAAUCGGAGAGAUUGAGGUCUGCAGCGUAGAUCCUUCGGGGUUAGAUACAUUUGUGCUAAGUUAUAGCCUUUCGUAGACAACUUGUUGACUAUGAUCAGUCAUGUAGCUUACUCGCUUAUGCUAUUUUACCUACGCUUAGGAUGUUG